AGGGAAUAUUGGACAAUGGGCGCAAGCCUGAUCCAGCCAUGCCGCGUGAGUGAAGAAGGCCCUCGGGUUGUAAAGCUCUUUUGUCCGGAAAGAAAAGCAUCGGGUUAAUACCCCGGUGUUCUGACGGUACCGGAAGAAUAAGCACCGGCUAACUUCGUGCCAGCAGCCGCGGUAAUACGAAGGGUGCAAGCGUUACUCGGAAUUACUGGGCGUAAAGCGUGCGUAGGUGGUUCGUUAAGUCUGAUGUGAAAGCCCUGGGCUCAACCUGGGAAUGGCAUUGGAAACUGGCGGACUGGAGUGCGGUAGAGGGUAGCGGAAUUCCCGGUGUAGCAGUGAAAUGCGUAGAGAUCGGGAGGAACAUCCGUGGCGAAGGCGGCUACCUGGACCAGCACUGACACUGAGGCACGAAAGCGUGGGGAGCAAACA
rnacentral:rRNA from 1 species